GGCGGGCUGGCAGUGAGACUGACUGCGUCGGGGUUGAGACUGGGUGGAUGAGGCUCACCCCGGCGGGGAGAAGGGACGAGGAGGGGCGGACAGCGGAAGGUCCGGGAGUGUCCGCCAUAAAGUCGUUUGAGUUUUAACUUCUAGUCAUGGCGAAUGAUCGCAGGAGAGCACAGACUGGACCCUGCUACGAUCUCUCUUGGAGUGGAUCAGACUGAUGAUCACCAACAACCAACUCAUUCCCGGAUAAGGAAGAAGAGAGUGUCACCUACUUCAGUGUGGUUUCAACCCUACUUCUGCAUCUUAAAGACACUUGUACAACGUUGGACACUGUGCAGGAUGAUGCCACUUCAUCUUGGAUGCUAAUCUGCCAUGUUGACUUCUGAUUAACCCCAGGCCCAGGAAUGCCUCAAGAUUUCUACUUUACUUACUGUUGCUUGUGUAAGCCAAGACAACCUUGAUGUUAUCAUAAACAUGUACUUACCUAAGUCCUGUCCUUUGGCAAAUUAUGGGCUAUGAGACACAGCAUUCUUGCCUUUCCCUGAGGGGUCAAUUUCAGCGAUCCUACACAUUCCUUCUGAAGCACUUAUGCUCUUUCUAUAUGGUAUGUAAGCUCUCGGUCUGGGGAGUAACAGUGCAGAGAUCUACCUGUCUUGUUGCCACAUGUUUCUAAACUUUCCAAUAAAUCACCUUCUACUGACAAACUGG
rnacentral:lncRNA from 1 species